GGGCCUUUAGCUCAGCUGGCUAGAGCGCUUCCAUGGCAUGGAAGAGGUCAAGGGUUCAAAUCCCUUAAGGUCCACCA
rnacentral:tRNA from 1 species